rnacentral:rRNA from 1 species
GUGGGGAAUCUUCCGCAAUGGACGAAAGUCUGACGGAGCGACGCCGCGUGAGUGAAGAAGGCCUUCGGGUCGUAAAGCUCUGUCAUCAGGGACGAACGGCCGGUGGAGUGGAAAGCCACCGGAUUGACGGUACCUGAGAAGGAAGCCACGGCUAUCUACGUGCCAGCAGCCGCGGUAAUACGUAGGUGGCAAGCGUUGUCCGGAAUUAUUGGGCGUAAAGCGCGCGCAGGUGGGAUCUUAAGUCCAUUUUUAAAGUUCGGAGCUCAACUCCGUGAUGGGAUGGAAACUGGGAUUCUUGAGUACCGGAGAGGAAAGCGGAAUUCCCCGUGUAGCGGUGAAAUGCGUAGAUAUGGGGAGGAACACCAGUGGCGAAGGCGGCUUUCUGGACGGUGUCUGACACUGAGGCGCGAAAGCCAGGGGAGCGAACGGGAUUAGAAACCCUUGUAGUCC